rnacentral:rRNA from 1 species
AUGCAAGUCGAGCGGGAAUCUUCUUUUGGAAGGCGAAGUAUUCGUACGGAGCCGGACAUGUGAAGAGGAGAGCGGCGGACGGGUGAGUAACGUGUAGGCAACCUGCCCCUGUCACGGGGAUAGCCACCGGAAACGGUGAUUAAUACCCGAUGACGCGGCGCGGCCGCAUGGCCGUGCCGCCAAAGUCCAGUCGGACAGGGAUGGGCCUGCGUCUGAUUAGGUGGUUGGUAGGGUAACGGCCUACCAAGCCUACGAUCAGUAACCGACCUGAGAGGGUAAUCGGUCACAUUGGAACUGAGACACGGUCCAAACUCCUACGGGAGGCAGCAGUGGGGAAUAUUGCACAAUGGGCGCAAGCCUGAUGCAGCAACGCCGCGUGAAUGAAGAAGGCCCUAUGGGUCGUAAAGUUCUGAUCUGAGGGAAGAUUAUGACGGUACCUCAGGAGAAAGCCCCGGCUAACUACGUGCCAGCAGCCGCGGUAAUACGUAGGGGGCAAGCGUUAUCCGGAAUUAUUGGGCGUAAAGAGUGCGUAGGUGGCCUGCUAAGCGAAGGGUGAAAGGCGUCGGCUCAACCGGCGUUAGCCUUUCGAACUGGCGGGCUUGAGUGCAGGAGGGGAAAGCGGAACUCCAGGUGUAGCGGUGAAAUGCGUAGAUAUCUGGAAGAACACCGGUGGCGAAGGCGGCUUUCUGGACUGUUACUGACACUGAGGCACGAAAGCGUGGGGAGCAAACAGGAUUAGAUACCCUGGUAGUCCACGCCGUAAACGAUGAGCGCUAGGUGUCGGGGCCUAUAAAGCCUCGGUGCCGCAGUUAACGCAUUAAGCGCUCCGCCUGGGGAGUACGCACGCAAGUGUGAAACUCAAAGGAAUUGACGGGGACCCGCACAAGCAGCGGAGCAUGUGGUUUAAUUCGAAGCAACGCGAAGAACCUUACCAAAGCUUGACAUCCUCCCUGACAGCGUGUAACGGCGCCCUCCUUCGGGCAGGGGAGACAGGUGGUGCAUGGUUGUCGUCAGCUCGUGUCGUGAGAUGUUCGGUAGUCCCGCACGAGCGCACCCUUGCGGUAGUGCAUCGGUCAUGCNGGCACUCUAGCGGACUGCGGNNACUCGAGAGGUGGGGAU